rnacentral:rRNA from 1 species
AUUGAACGCUGGCGGCAUGCCUUACACAUGCAAGUCGAACGGCAGCACGGGUGCUUGCACCUGGUGGCGAGUGGCGAACGGGUGAGUAAUACAUCGGAACGUACCUUAUCGUGGGGGAUAACGCAGCGAAAGUUGCGCUAAUACCGCAUACGCCCUGAGGGGGAAAGCGGGGGACCGUAAGGCCUCGCGCGAUUAGAGCGGCCGAUGUCUGAUUAGCUUGUUGGUGAGGUAAAAGCUCACCAAGGCGAUGAUCAGUAGCUGGUAUGAGAGGACGAUCAGCCACACUGGGACUGAGACACGGCCCAGACUCCUACGGGAGGCAGCAGUGGGGAAUUUUGGACAAUGGGGGCAACCCUGAUCCAGCAAUGCCGCGUGAGUGAAGAAGGCCUUCGGGUUGUAAAGCUCUUUUGUCAGGGAAGAAACACCGGCUCUAACACAGUCCGGGAAUGACGGUACCUGAAGAAUAAGCACCGGCUAACUACGUGCCAGCAGCCGCUGUAA